AUGUGCCUUGAUUCAUAUCAUGGACCUUAAAGGAAAAUUAGAAUGGGAUCUAAUCGAAGAAAUAAAACUAGUUCACUCAAGGUACCUCUCCUUCUCCUCAUUUAAGAAAAUUUCCAUACCUAAAACAUUACCUAAUUCUCUUCAGUUUCUACAGACCUUAACUGUAGACUGUAAAGAUGUACAUCUACCAGAGGAAAUAUGGAGGAUGCCACAAUUAAGGCAUCUCCUGUUCGGUAGUUGUUAUUUGCCAUGCCCUGCUAGAUCACCAAUAGCUGGAGAGAAUUUAGUUCUAGGAAACCUUUUAACAUUGUCGAAAGUGAGUAGUUCCAGCUGUACCAAGGAGGUCUUCGAAGGAGUUCCAAAUCUAAACAAGUUAGGAAUUUUGGUUGAAAAAUUUGAAAUGAGACCUUUUUUUCUAUGCAAUCUGGUUAAUCUUCCUCAACUUAAGACCCUGAAAAUCAGAAGUGGAAUUUACUCAGAUGUUAGUGUCCUGAUGAAUUUGACUUUCCCACCAAAUAUCAAAAAGUUAACUUUAGAGGGUUGCCAUAUUCCUUGGGAAUAUAUGACUAUCGUCGGUUCAAUGCCAAAUCUUGAAGUGCUCAAACUGCAACAUUAUGCCUUUCAUGGGCCGGAAUGGGAGCCAACGGAAGGAGAAUUUUGCAAACUAAAAUUUCUGCUACUUCAUGGAACAGAUCUAGUGCAAUGGAAAGCUGAUGAGACUCACUUCCCAAGCCUUGAGCACCUAAUUCUUAGGAGCUGUUUCAAACUAGAGGAGAUCCCUUCCAGUAUUGGAGAUGUACUAAUGCUUCAAAUCAUUGACUUGGAUGACGCUAGCCCUUCGGCUGUGACUUCGGCAAAGCAAAUACAAGAAGAACAAAUGGACUUGGGAAAUGAUAGCCUUCAAGUUUGUGUCCUUCAUAAGUACCACUUGAAACGUCUAGAGGUAAAAACGAUUCCUUCAACCAUACAUACUACUGCUAAUAUCUGAUCAUUUCUCUAUAUCAAGAAAACUUACUGGUCUUCAUAAUGAAAUUUUAGAAAGCAUGACCAUUUUUUCUCUCUGAUAUUUUUAUUAUUAUUUUUUUAAAUUUAAACCGCUCUAGAUUCUAUUAUUUACUAAUAAAGAAAAUAAAUAUAAAAUUUAAAAGGGGCAGGUCCUGGCUGGACCUCUAGUUAAA
rnacentral:lncRNA from 1 species